rnacentral:rRNA from 1 species
CAAACGACUCUCGGCAACGGAUAUCUCGGCUCACGCAUCGAUGAAGAACGUAGCAAAAUGCGAUACUUGGUGUGAAUUGCAGAAUCCCGUGAACCAUCGAGUUUUUGAACGCAAGUUGCGCCCGAAGCCAUCCGGCCGAGGGCACGCCUGCCUGGGCGUCAC